rnacentral:tRNA from 1 species
UGGUUCAAUUGGUAGAGCAUGGUGUUUGCAACGCCAGGGUUGUGGGUUCGAUUCCCAC